AUAUUAUACUAACUAUUUAUUACCAUAAUUCUGUAGAUUAUGCAGAUGUACCUUUAUUGGAACGUAUAAUAGUAAGAUUCCUUUUUAGCUCACCCGACCCGAAGGGCCAAGUGAGCUUUUCUCGUCACUUUGCGUCCGUCGGGUCAAAUUUAACCAAACUUGGCCACAAUCAUCAUUGGGUAUUCUAGUUUGAAAAAUGUGUUCGCUGACACGGCCAACCAACCAAGAUGGCAGCCACGGCUAAAAAUAGAACAUAGGGG
rnacentral:lncRNA from 1 species